GUGAAUCAUCGAAUUUUUGAACGCAUAUUGCACUCUCUGGUAUUCCGGAGAGUAUGCCUAUUUGAGGGUCAUUUGAAAUAAUAUAAAUUGCAGGAUUUCUCGGAAUUUAAAAUGGGUUGUACAUUUUUUGUGGUCGCCUAAAAUCAAAGACAAGCUAAUUUUCUUGGGUUGCGUGAUACGCUCAGUUACCACGUGACUUAACCAAGAAUCAUCGGGCGUGUUAUGAAUUUUUCAAGAGAUAAAUUCCAUAUAUUUAUCUCAUGCGAAAUAUAAAUUGAAUCAUGACCUCAAAUUAGAU
rnacentral:misc_RNA from 1 species